CUGGCGUUCAAGAUGUCAAAGCAAGGACGUGGUGGGUCCUCCGGUGCGAAAUUCCGGAUUUCCCUGGGUCUUCUGGUAGGUGCCGUGAUCAACUGUGCUGACAACACAGGAGCCAAAAACCUGUAUAUCAUCUCUGUGAAGGGGAUCAAGGGACAAUUGAACAGACUUCCUGCUGCUGGUGUGGGUGACAUGGUGAUGGCCACAGUGAAGAAAGGCAAACCAGAACUCAGAAAGAAGGUACAUCCAGCAGUGGUAAUUCAACAACGUAAGUCAUACCAGAGAAAAGAUGGUGUGUUUCUCUAUUUUGAAGAUAAUGCGGGGGUCAUAGUAAACAAAUGAAAGGUUCUGCUAUCACAGGACCAGUUGCAAAGGAGUGUGCAGACUUGUGGCCCAGGAUUGCAUCCAAUGCUGGCAGCAUUGCAUGAUUCUUUGGUGUAUUUGUUAAUUAAAAAUUAUUUGCUCUCAAAAAAAAAAAA